AAAGCGUUUGUUUCUCUCGACUUAUCAGACAGAAAAAAGCCUCCAUGUCGUAUGCGUUACGUGCUAAGACCCCGGGCUUACAACUAAUAGGGAAAAGAAAGACGAAAACCAAAGGAAAACGAGUGAAAAGAAGUGGAGAAGACGAAGAAAGCAGCGAGAAAACAAAUGGAAAGACGUUAAAACAUAGAAAAUCAGAGGAAAAAUCAUCGGGAUGUCAGAGGAAACCCCGGUGCAGCAGACUGUCUGGCGAGAAUUUCUUGCAAGUUGAGUGAGAAUCUAUAGUCCAGGAAUCCGUGCUAACAUUUCUCCGUUUCCUUUCCAGAAGAACACACUGCCUGCGGACACUCGUGUGUAUCCCACAUGCCCGAUCCGUAGCACAUGCAAAUUCAAUUAAUGCAAAAAUGCCAUUCCAUACAUACAAAUCUACGUAUAUGUAAUGUACUCGCACACACACAUAUGUAUGUAUGUAUGUGUGUGUGUGUGUGUGUGUGUGCAUACAAUUAACUCGCUUCCUCCACGAGCCCGCUCUUCCCAAUACAAAAUCCAAAUAAAACAGAAUAGAACCAAAGUGCAGAGAGUUAUAGGCGGGACUGGCGUCACCUUGUCGUUGCCUCGUUGCCUCGUUGCCUCGUUGCUGGAAUCUCGAGCCGACUUUGCUUGAUUUAUCAACAGCAAACGGCAGUGGCAACAUUUCAAUGCAAAACGUGUAACAAUUUGUAAGAUUUACAUAACCCAGAAGCCCGGGCCAGAAGUAGAACUCACAGCCAUAGUCGUAGCACUUGAAUUCGACUUGGUAGCUAAUGAAAUUAAACAAAAAUAAAAACUUAAUAGUAAACAAUCCAUUAAACAAAUACAUGAACAGUUAAUGAUAGUUCAACCUGAAAUACGAUUAAUAAACCAUACAUAGAAAAGGAAAGGGCCAUGAAAAUUGCGUUAUUAUUUUGUACAUUCAAAUUAAAUAUUACUUGACCAACUAGAUACAUUUUUAGCCGAG
rnacentral:lncRNA from 1 species